CUGUUCCCAUGCCGAACACAGAAGUUAAGCUUCUUAGCGCCGAUUGUAGUGAAGGGUUUCCCUUUGUGAGAGUAGGACGUCGCCACGC
rnacentral:rRNA from 1 species